rnacentral:tRNA from 1 species
CGUCCCGUCGUCUAGCGGCGAAGACGCCUGUCUUACAAACAGGUUAGCGCAGGUUCGAGUCCUGCCGGGACGA